AGCACCUAUGACACCAGGCACAGCAUGAGGCUUUGAGGACAUAGUGGGGGCAGCGUGAUCCCUGUCCUAAUGAUGCAUGAGGUGGACAGUCAUUACACAGAAGAACCACGAGGGAAGGGCACAGAUUGUUAAAAGAGCCUAUCAUUGUGUCUUUGUUGUUGCUGUAAUAUUUAAUCAACAACACUGUGGCCUGGGACGAAAGUGCCAUAGCAGGCGCGAGAAGCAGUCAGUAUAAGUAUUCCUUCCUCUCCCCACUCUCCCUCUCCAAACUCCACCGUCCGGUGCGGAAGACUCAGAUUCAGGUCCAUUUUCCAACGAAUCCACUAUCUGAAACUCUGGAAUGCGUGGAUUUGAUAACCCAGUAUCCCUCAAAAUCCAGAUUUGCUGUCUGAACUCCUGAUACUUGAACGCGGUCACCAAAUAGACGUGGCCAGGGAGGGCAGGGCGGAGCGGCGAGUGGGUGACGAGUGAAGGGCUGUGGCGUCUCAGGUAGGACAAUGGAGACCUGGGGCUCCACGGCCCCCGGAUGACUGACACUGAAUGAGGGCGUGCAGGUCUGCGCGCAGCCAUUUAAAGUGGAAAUCGUUAAUGGAACACAGGACUUGACUUUGGUAGUGUGACUUUAGUAGUGUCUCAUGUUUCUCCUGUCCUGGGAGGCAGGCUGGACCUUAACCUGCUCAUGUGUGUCUGACUUUGUCAGCAGAGAUUAACUUUGCAGAACUUUGUCCUUUCGAAGAGGCCCCUCUGCGGGGUAACAAAAAAAUUCUGCAAGCUUUCUGAGCUGUUCUCCAGGUAGGUAUCUCUGCAUCACCCAAACAUUAUCCCACUGAGUUUCCUCUUUCCUGGCAGCUGUCCUUUGACUCUGAAGUGUUCUGUGCCUGCCCAGACCCCGUAGAUACUGGGAGCCAGGCUCUGUUCUGCCUGACGGCCACAAACACAGCAUAAACCACAAGUCCUCCCGAGCCUGGGCCUGUCUGUGGGAGCAUUUCAACUCCCCUACUUGAGAGUUGAAGUGACCUGGAUUUGUAGAGAGAGUGGUUUCAAUCCAGUUGUGUCAGAAUCAGCAGGCGAGAGCAGUGGGACGUGUGUGUCCCUGCAGCAUAAAGGGGGACACACACACACACUGUUAUCCCAGCUCCAGGACUGGGUUCUGAGUGGCUCGAGCUGAUCAGAGUAUCCCAUUCCCCUGGUUGCAGUGAUUGGAUUGGGAACGGGCCAAGAGAGACCAAAUUCCAGAAGAUUUACUCACCAGCGCACCCUCCUUCCCCGCCCAGGGUAGUGGGAGCGGCGAGAUCCGGAACUGCUGCUGCUGUGGCGAUUUCUCACCAGGAAGGGAGAGCCUAGGGAACUAACAGCCCUGGAGAGAAUGCAUGGGACAGCUAUCUGAGGACUCAGAACAAAUGGGAGCAGGAAGAUUUGGGAAGGCAACCGGAGUUCAAAAUACUACCAAACUGGUGAUGAGUUUCCCGUUUUCUU
rnacentral:lncRNA from 1 species